UAUCGCCUGUAGAGCAAAGCGGUUUCCUGCAGAAGAGCUCGCCUCCUCCCUGACGAAAGAGCGAGGCGACCGCUCGGGCGAGUGGUGUGGGAUCGGUCGCUCCACUCCCCGCAAGACCACGCAGACCCAACAAAAGCCGGCGGCGCAAGGGCGCGAACGAGAAGGGAAGUGCGGGAACGGGAGAAGGGAAGCACACGAACCAGGGCAGUGGAGGCACGGUGCACGAACAAGAGGAGAAGGCGGCGCACCUCGUCCUCAGCCCGCCGUCGACAUCAUGGAUUCAAGCUCUCCGUGCAAGGUAUGACGCUACUCCUUCCCCUGCCUCCUCUUGUGCUGAUGGCCAGAUGGAUUUGAUUCAGAUUGGUUCAGUAAAUUAGGCUAGGGUUUGAUGGAUUCUGGUGAUUUGUUCCAAGAACAAGAUCGAUUCCCCUAUCCUGUGAUUUAGAUUCAAUCAAUUUGGUUAAGGUGGACAUGCUUGUAGAAAUCCCCAUCUAUUUCUUCUUAUUAAUCCCUGAGAGAAACGUGUAGAUCCGUGCUAUUACUCUGCACUCUGCAGUUGCGGGUAGAAAAUCAUAUUGCUUAGUACGUGUGCAGAAGAACAUACAGAGGAAAUUAUAUAAACAAGGUGCCGGUUUGCUGUAGGCAGCCAUGUCCGUGGAUUGGGACUAUUUAUAUGUGAUUCAUUUUGGCAUAUAAAAGUACUACAAAGCAGGGAUGUUGAGACAGUGCUCUGAAGUCUGAACUUGAACUUACAAUUUAGACAUUAGCAUGUUACCAUCUUUUUUUUCUUGUUUGAGGAAUGACUGUUGGAAUUCAGAACUAGAACACUUGAAUACUCCUGCAGUUUUUUAAACUGUAAUUGCACUACAGCAGGAUACUUGUAUUAUUCGGUUGCUCCAUGCUAAUAUUUAACAGGAAAACCACUGCUCAUUUGUUAAAUCUGACCGAUGCUAAUAUUUGAAUUAAGACAAAAGUUGAAUGCUUCGACAUAUUUUGGAUGUAGGCACGUUUAAGUAUUUGAAUAGAUUAUGCUAUCUGAACAUGUCACAAUUGAGUUCCGAUGAGUUCGAAGAUGACGCCGAUGACCCAACAGAAAUUUUCUCUCUAGAAGAUUACUUGGCACAACAGAAUACUCUCAACAACUUUGCUACACAAAUAGCCACAAACAUUCAUGAUGCACUAGGAGUUCCAAGUACUAGGUGUCGGUCAGCCCCUAGGACAUAUAUUGACAGGAAGAGAGAAUUUUACAGUGAACUUCUCAUAGCAGAUUACUUCUGUGAUAAUCCUACCUAUCCUGAUUACUACUUCCGUAGAAGGUUCCGCAUGGGAAAACCCCUCUUUCUACGCAUUGUUCAAGCUCUUGGUGAGUGGUCUCCCUACUUCACUCAAAGGGUAGAUGCCCUGGGCCGUCCAGGUCUAUCACCUUUAUAGAAGUGCACAUCAGCCAUGCAUAUGUUGGCGUAUAGUGUUCCUGCUGAAAAAACAGAUGACCAUGUAAGACUUGGUGCAUCUACGACACUCGAGUGUCUUGAGAAUUUUUCUCAGGGGGUCAUUGCUAAGUUUGGUGGAGAAUAUUUGCAAAGGCCAACUGUUGAAGUCAUUCAACGUCUACUAGAAAUUGGUGAAGCACGUGGUUUUCCUGUACCAAAGCCGCAAUGGGCACCAGUUCCUGUAUGUGCAUUGGUGGGAAGCUGUGAAAGACAGCCAAAAGUGGAAGAUUCAUGUAUACACAGAAGGAGAUGGAACAAAGAGGUCAUCACCAAUACCAACUGAGAAUGCUCAGCGUCCCCCAGGAACAAAGAGGGCGAAGAAAGCUACAGGAAAAGAUAAGGAAGCCCCUACUUAGAUGAAUAACAUGAAAGAACAGAUUGAGGCCUUUCUACAAGCACAAGCUGAUGCUAAGGAGCGAACUGCUGUGAUGAUGGAAUUGCAGAGUUGACUGUCUGCUCAGAAGGUAGAAGCUAAUCGACUUGCAUAUGAGGCAGCAAAGGAGAGGACAGUGGCCAAGUUAGCAGAGGAAAGAACCAAGUUGUUUGACAAGUUCACAGAUAUGUUGAGUGCUGACACAAUAAGAAUGGAGCCAUGGGCAAAGGAGAUGCAUAUGAAGGCUGUCACAAGAUUGGGGGAUCAACUUUUCAGGGAGGAAUAGAAGAUGUUCUACAUAUAUGUCCAACAAAAGCGGAUUUCAUGUGCCAUAAAGCGUAGAAGAUGUGAGACUUUUUUUUGGAAUGAGAAGAAUCAAAGGAUACAACAACAAAUUCAGUCUGAAAUUUAAUUUGUGUGUUUACAAAUCUAUCUUUCCUUUAUGAGUAUUUGAAAACCUUAAGAUUAUUCUGUUACUAUGGGAUUUUGUAGUGUCAUGGACAACACAUACUCGUUGACACUGUUUGCAUAUCAAGGUUGCUGUUUUUUGUUUGGAAA